GGAGGAGUCCGAUAGUGGUUAUUCGAGCGGAUUGCUAAUCCGCGGCCGAAAGGCCCCGUGGGUUCGAAUCCCACCUCCUCCG
rnacentral:tRNA from 4 species